GACGAACGCUGGCGGCGUGCUUAACACAUGCAAGUCGAACGGAAAGGCCCUGCUUUUGUGGGGUGCUCGAGUGGCGAACGGGUGAGUAACACGUGAGUAACCUGCCCUUGACUUUGGGAUAACUUCAGGAAACUGGGGCUAAUACCGGAUAGGAGCUCCUGCUGCAUGGUGGGGGUUGGAAAGUUUCGGCGGUUGGGGAUGGACUCGCGGCUUAUCAGCUUGUUGGUGGGGUAGUGGCUUACCAAGGCUUUGACGGGUAGCCGGCCUGGGAGGGUGACCGGCCACAUGGGGACUGAGAUACGGCCCAGACUCCAACGGGAGGCAGCAGUGGGGAAUAUUGCACAAUGGGCGGAAGCCUGAUGCAGCAACGCCGCGUGCGGGAUGACGGCUUUCGGGUUGUAAACCGCUUUCGCCUGUGACGAAGCGGGAGUGACGGUAAUGGGUAAAGAAGCACCGGCUAACUACGUG
rnacentral:rRNA from 1 species